CAGCUCAACUGACCAAGACCUUUGCUCAUUGAAGGCAUGAAGUAAUUUGUGAUGCCCCCACGAUUGCAGUUUUUAAAUCCAGAUGGCUUGCUCUUUUUAACAUGUGCGAGAGCUGGAUGGUCUUUCAACAACACUGCUCCGGGUCUUCAGCAAGAAAGGUGCUUCUCAUGCAAGGAAGAUACAGAGGAUCCUGGUGCCCAUGACUCAGACUGACAACAUUGAUGUGAAGAGGGAGUGCAUGCUGAGGAGCUGACGGUCUACCUGAAUGAAGAGCCAGACAAAGUGGAUGUUGAUCUGGACGGUCCAGCUGAAACGUAUUGUCUUCGUGUGCGUGUGAUCGGCAGAGAGUCCUCAACGACAUUGGUAACGUACCUGUGGCCAUUGCAGUGUUUGUUUUGGUUUAUGCUCUUAAUCUCUGUUACCUUCCAGAAUGGAAGUACACUUUCAAAUUUCUGUUUCAUUCUAACCGUCUGUUUCAUCAGUUUUUGCACUGCUUUUAAAUGUACACUGUGUAAGAUUCUUAGUUGUUUAUUUCCAGAAUUCA